rnacentral:misc_RNA from 1 species
GAAAUGCGAUAAGUAAUGUGAAUUGCAGAAUUCAGUGAAUCAUCGAAUCUUUGAACGCAUAUUGCGCCCUUUGGUAUUCCGAAGGGCAUGCCUGUUCGAGCGUCAUUUCACCACUCAAGCCUCGCUUGGUAUUGGGCGUCGCGGCGGCUCCGCCGUCCGCGCGCCUCAAAGUCUCCGGCUGAGCCGUCUGUCUCCAAGCGUUGUGGCACAUAUUCGCUUCGGGUGCAGGCGGCCGCGGCCGUUAAAUCGCUCCACCGGUUGACCUCGGAUCAGGUAGGGAUACCCGCUGAACUUAA